GAUGAACGCUGGCGGCGUGCUUAACACAUGCAAGUCGAACGAAGCAUUUCUGUGGAAGCUUUCGGGUGGAAACAGAAGUGACUUAGUGGCGGACGGGUGAGUAACGCGUGGGUAACCUGCCUUGUACAGGGGGAUUACAGUUAGAAAUGACUGCUAAUACCGCAUAACCCUUUAGUGCCGCAUGGCGCGGAAGGAAAAGAUUCCAUCGGUACAAGAUGGACCCGCGUCUGAUUAGCUAGUUGGUGAGGUAAUGGCCCACCAAGGCGACGAUCAGUAGCCGACUUGAGAGAGUGAUCGGCCACAUUGGGACUGAGACACGGCCCAAACUCCUACGGGAGGCAGCAGUGGGGAAUAUUGCACAAUGGGGGAAACCCUGAUGCAGCGACGCCGCGUGAAGGAAGAAGUAUUUCGGUAUGUAAACUUCUAUCAGCAAGGAAGAUAAUGACGGUACUUGACUAAGAAGCCCCGGCUAACUACGUGCCAGCCGCCGCAGUAAAAC
rnacentral:rRNA from 1 species